UGAGUAAGCUGGAUGAUCGCAAACACAAAGGUCGAAAGGCUGUGUUUGAGGAAAGUCGGAGCUCCAUAGGGCAGGGUGCUGGGUAACGCCCAGUAAGGGUGACCUUAAGGCAAGUGCCACAGAAACAAACCGCCCGUCACCACCAGUGACGGGUAAGGGUGGAAAGGUGAGGUAAGAGCUCACCAGCAGUCAGGCGACUGGCUGGCUAGGUAAACCCCACCUGGAGCAAGACCGAAUAGAGAAGCGAAAGAGUAGCCCGCUCUGCUUCCGGGUAGGUCGCUAGAGAUGACAGGUAACUGGCAUCCCAGAUAGAUGAUCAUCCCCUCUAACGAGGGACAGAACUCCGCUUACAGGUUUGCUCACCAU
rnacentral:RNase_P_RNA from 1 species